AUUGUUUCAUAGGCGUAAACCAUAAUCUCAUAUAUAUGUUCAUGAAUGGCUACAUGUAUACCGUGGACUGAUGAUACAGUUCAGGACAUAGAAAAAUCAAUGACAGGAACUGAUGAACUAGACUCACAGACCACAUUUACACAUAAUAACAUCGCCAGUAAAUCAGGAUUAGCCAGUGAACUGUCCAGUCAGUGUAAAAGUUUUGGGAAAAAUUCGCCCAACGAAACUACACAAUCACGGGUUUUGGCACUGCAAAGAGAAAAUAUGGAGCUGAAGUCCAAGUUAAACUGUUUUAUUUGCAGACAAAACCAGUUCACACAUGUAUUGAUUCCAUGCAGCCAUGUUGUUUGUGGUUAUUGCGUAAAACUGACAUUUUGUUUAUGCACUUUACGCAUUGAAACAUCACAUCCGUGUACGUUACCAGCUAUUCCUCACACUACAGAACAGGAAAUGUCGUUUUCGUCGUCCAUCAUUGGGCGUAUUUCCUAGUGACUUCGACACCUCUAAGAACAGUUGUACAUGAUAUAAAGCUUUAAAAUAUGGAUACAUUAAAAUUGUGCCUAACAAGUUAUAAAACAAGUCUGGGAGUUCAUUUAGGUAGCACCCACAGUUAGGAAAUAAAAUGAAAAUUGAACCACAAAAAAGUUUAAUCAUCUUCUAUUCCUGGCUUUCUAAUACAUUUAGCCCAAUGUUUGUGUCAUACAUGUGCAUGUGUAUGUAAUAAGUAUCUUCCAUAGAUUUGAUUUUCAAAAGUUAGAAUGGUGAAAUAUAAUUCCUUUUUUGUGUGUCCAUGGCAGCAUUCUUCGUUUAUUUACCAUAAAAUAUUGCAAAAAAGGGGCAUUAAAAUGUCACAUAUUCCCCAAAAUAUUUGCUUGAAACUAGAAUUUGAAUCCCUUUGAGUGAUACCUUUUCUGAAACUAUUGACACAAAUCUACCAAACGAUCAAAUAGAAAUUGUGAAUCUGUCGCCUCAUUUUUUCGUAAAGUCGAAUCACAUAUUUGUUCGACAAAAAAUUGGGAAAAAAAUCACAAUAAUUUCUGUCAUAGUGUCUAAUAUGGAUAUGAAAAUACGGACUGUCAUACAGAAAACAGCCCAUAAUACAUACAUUACACAAUCUUGAUGUUCAUAUAAACCCACUAUGAAGGCUAUAGUAGUCCGCAGCCAUCCAAAAAAUGUAUUUCAUAGCACACUAGCUUUCAUAUUUGAAAAAUCCACAGGGGCCAAAAUGCGAAACUACACGCCUAACUGUGGAGUGCUAAAUGUCCCCUAGGGAGUACUAUUACAUUUUCCUAACGUAUUUGUAAAGUUGUUUGCCAUAAAUGAAAUGCCAAAUAUAGUUUGUAGCAAAAAUGACUAUUACGAUGACACAUGUUAUUUUGUAAGAGACAUGUUUUCAAUACACUUUCGUAUCAGCAUCCCUUCCAGAUAUUCAUUGCAAUUGUCUGACUAAAGGUUCAUUCAUGUAAUAUGUUUGAAAGAAGUUUGUAUAAUUAUGUUUGGUUUUAAUUUUUAAUUUUGUUUUUCUACAUUGAAAUCAUUUAAAGGUUUUUUUGUUCAUAUUACACAAUAUCGCGCAUUCCUGUACAGUUUAUACCGUUGUUGCAUAAAAUGUUCUGUGAAAUAAUGCCACUGACAGUGAAGAGUAGAACGGCCUGAUUUUAUAUAUCAAGUUUAUGACUUUCGAACAGCGGUAUACUACUGUUGCCUUUAUUUGUGUACUUUAAUCUAGAUAUCAGUUACUGCUAGCAUUUUUUUAUAUGUUAUUGUUUAAUAUGUUGUUACUGGUUUUUUAUACCAAUUAGACUGUUGUUGCGGAAAUAAAAUUAUUUCCUGUA